GGAAAAGGCUGUGGUUUAGUGGUAGAACAUCUACUUUGCAUGUAGAAGGUCCAUGGUUCAAUCCCCAGCAGCUCCA